AUAUAUAUUUACAAAUAUUAUUUACUCUAUAUAUGUACUAUAUAUAUUAUUUACUAUAUAUAUUAUGUAAUAUAUAAUAUUACAAAUAUUAUAGAAGAUUGACUACUAAUGACAUAUCUAUUCCAAAGGCAACAAUUAGAGCAACACCUAAAACCUUCAACUGUUCUCAGCCUUUGCCUAGUCUGAUUAUGAUUCUUGUUCUGCAUUGAGCAAAACUGUGAUAAUUCCUUUUUCCAAAUGUCUUCGAUGGUGGAAGAUCCCUAGAUCUGUUUGCAUUUCCCAGAUAUUUUAAAAGGUGCUACGACUUUUAGCUGUUGCCUGUUCCAUAUUGAUAAUGACCAGGGACCAGCUCUGGCCUUAGAUGCUUUUUGUAUCUUCUCUUCCUCUUUGCCUGGGGCAGGCAUUAUUUUUCUGUACAGAGAGUCUACAGGUUUUUUUCCCUCAGCAGGAAGAGAUAGGAGAGAUCGUUUUCAUCACAUGAUCUUCCUUUGUCUAAACAGGUUUCUUUUUCAUCCACAUCCUCUUUCUCACUGAAGUCUUAAGAUGCAAGCUGGUGUAUACAUUAUGUGUUUCAUUUUAGUAUAUGUAUUAUAUAUAGUCACUGAUUGUUUUAAGAUUUUCUUAAUUCGUUUUUUUUUCCCCUCAAAAUAUGGCUGGGGGCUGCCUGUGUCACAACCAGUCAUGGUGUUUGUUAAAAGCGCAGAUUUCUGAGCUCCUCUCCAGAUCUAUGAAUAAGCAAUUCUGAAGAUGGGAUUCAGGGACCAUUUUAUUUUAUAUUUGUUUUGUUUUAUUUAUUUUUGAGACACUCUUCUUUUUUCCUUUUUUGAGACGGGUCUUAUUCUGUUGCCCAGGCUGGAGUGCAGUGGCACUAAUCAUAGCUCACUGCAGCCUUGAACUCCUGAGCUCAGUUGAUCCUCCCUCCUCAGCCUCCCAAGUAGCUGCAAAUCUUUUGAACCAACAAACAGAAAAGACCGGUUGUUUGAAAGCAAGCAGUUUACUCUGAUUUAUCAAAACUGUAGGCAUGAAGAGCCCGAAGAAGUACCAUUUAAGGCAUUAGAAAUAAUUCCAUGUGGACAUUCAUGCUUCAUUUUAGUGGUGACUCAUUCUAUAAACAUCCAGUGCUUGAACUGGGAGGAAGUGAGAGAUAGUAAUGUGCUCUUUUUGGUGGCUUAAACACUGUCCUCUGCUGACGAAUGCUUGGGUCUAACUCUUGCCAUCUUUUCUCCUGUGAAGGGGGUAAGUGGAUGUUGGGAAGUGCACCCAAAUGCCCCUUCUGCACUGAAGGAAUUUACUUCCCCAUUGGUUGCCCUCUGAUGAAGAAACCACUUUGCCGAGAUCAUGACCUCUUCCUGAGGUAGCCUGCAUCCAAUGACAGGUCCAUACCUAGUAGAGAGACCCACUCCCCCAUCCCAACUCAGAACAGCAUCAAAGAGCUAGUCCAACCUCAGAACCGCUUGUGAGAGUCAGCUGAGGUCUUUUCUGAGAUGGUAUCUCAGCCCAGUUUCUCAUUCUGCCCAAUCCUGCUUCAUUUUCUUACCCCAUAGUUAUCAGUCCCUCCCAAACAACCUUCCUGAAUGCUAACCUCUGAUUCCAAGGCUGUUUCCAUGGAAUCUAACCUGCUAUAUAGGGUAUUGAAAAGGCAUAUUUUCAUUGUCGUAGGGUGGAAGUCACAAUUAGUGUACAUAGUGAGUUUAAAUACUGAUAAGCAUAGUAACAGUUCCCAGUUGUAGAAUACUAAAGAGACCCUAGAGAUUCAGGAGUUAUUUAGAUCAGUAGUUCUUAAAAUUGUACCAAGAUAUGUACCAGAAUGUGUUGAACAGGGUUUUUUUUUUUUUUUAAUGUGAUUUCCCAAGCUUUACUCCAGACUUUCUGAAUCAUGAUCUUUAGGGGCCGGACCCAAGAUUAAAAAAAUAUUUUCAGGCAGGUGCAGUGGCUCACGCCUAUAAUCCUGGAUCUUUGGGAGGCUGAGGCAGGCAGAUCACUUGAGGACAGGAGUUCGAGACCAGCCUGGCCAACAUGGUGAAACCCUGUCUCUACUAAAAAUACAAAAAUUAGCAGGGGUGGUGGCAAACCUGUAAUCCCAGCUACUGGGGUGGCUGAGGCAUGGAGAAGAGCUUGAACUGGGAGGUGGAGGUUGCAGUGAGCCAAGAUCGCACCACUGCAUGCCAGCCUGGGUGACAGAAUGAGACCCUAUCUCGAAAUACUACUACUAUUACUAUUAAAAUAAUAAUUUCCUGGUAAUUUUGGUGAAACCAGUGUAUAGUUCAGCACUUAAAAAAUGACUAACCAGGAAUAAAAAGUUUGUAAGUGAGAAAAAAUUACAACCCCAAGUGCCUAAGCCCUUAUUUUUGCCGUAUGUAUUUUUAAUAAAUAAAGAUUAAGGUCUUACAGAACAUCAAGACACAUAGAAAGUGCUGGGUAAAUGAAAUGAAUGAGGGAACAAAACUGCCAUCCUCACACAGUUUAAUUAUUGCCUCUCUUGUGGAGGUAGUCAUGUCUAAUAACCCAUGAGACAUUUAGACAAACACUGUCAGACUCCGGGACCAAUAUAGGAGGAAACUCACACUGAAGCUACUUCUGCAAUGCACAAGUUGCCUCGUCUUUCAUCAUUUCAGGCCAUUCAAGCAGAAUAUGGAGGGCCUGUUGUUCCUGCAGUGGGGAUUUCUGCACAUGGAAAGAAGUUUAAUUAGAUUGUCUGGAAGAGUCUACAAUGCAAAAGACAGAUGGGGGCUCUCUGUCAUCAGAGAGGAGAGAGCACAGUUUCCGUGGGAUGCUUAAGUAAGGCCUGAGAGUGUUUACUUAUGAUUUUCAGCACGUCCAGCUUGGAAGAGGGCAUGACCUGCAAUGGGCUUAUAGAGAAAAAUGAAUGAGCGCUGUGCUGUUUCUUCAAAAAACAUUAACACUGGUUAAUCUUACGUAGAAAGGAUACUAUAGGAAGGCUGUGUAUGUGUGUGAGAUAGAGUAUGAGUGGUCUCUUUCCCACCCUAUACUCAGGACAGUUCACAUAGUCAGAUUCCACUGGGUCUCUAAUUGAGAGAACAGUCGUUUUUCUCAAUGAAAUCCAAGUUUUUCCUCCAGAGAGGAGCUUAGAAUAAAAAUGGGAUUAUGUUGUCUUAUAGAACAACUCAGUACAGGUCACAGUGCAUAUACUUAAUUGAAUCUUUUUGUGGAUGGCAUUCUUUAAUGAAUUUUUAAUAGAAGAUACAGUGUUUUCAUUUGGUAGCAACAAAAGGGAGAAUUGCUUUAUAAACAUUUUAAUAGAAAAUGUAUAUAUUGAAAGCUGUACUGCUUCCUCAAGAGGGUAUACUAUGUUUAUUUCCCCAAAGCAGAUGGUGCAUCAGUAUGUGGCCUCAAGGUAUUGUCCUUGAAAUCUCCAGUGUUCAAGUGAAUGGACAGGAGAGCUUUUAAAAAUUCCUUUUUGAAAAUAAUCCAUUUGGGGAAGAGCACAUUGUCAGGGUAAUUUUUGAAGGCAAAUAUUCAAUCAUUUUGAUUUAAACUCAGUGAUCAGGAAACAAAGCAUGCUAUAAUCGGAAGAAUAAUGAAACAGUGAUUCUGGAAUUGGUGUUAUUACCUUUAACAAGUUGUAUGAUCAUUAACCCCUUUUCUCUCUGAAUACUGAAAUUUUCUUGAUAUAGUUUGGCUCUGUGUUCCAUCUCAAAUUGUAAUUCCCUCAUCCGGGGAGGAGAUGAUUGGAUCCUGCGCGUGGUUUCCCUCAUGCUGUUCUCAUGGUAGUGCAUGAGUUCUCAUGAGAUCUGGUGGUUUUAGAAGUGUCUGGCAUUUCCCCUGCUUGCACCUCUCUCUCCUGCUGCCAUGUGAAGAAGGUUCUUGCUUCCCGUUUGCCUUUUGCCAUAAUUGUAAGUUUCCUGAGGCCUCCCCAGCCAUGAGAGACUGUGAGUCAAUUAAAACUCCUUUGUUUAUACAUUUCACAGCCUUGGGUAGUAUCUUUACAGAUGUGUGAGAACCGCCUAAUAUACUCCUCAUCUAUGAAAUACUGGGAUAGCUAAUCUUUAGGGACACUUUGAGUUGUACAAUAGAAUCUAAUAUUACCUGGUAAUUUUGUGUAGGACCCAUCAGCAAACCGACUUUCUUGGUUCUACUCACUAUAUGUAGAUGAAAAGCCGUGAGUUUAUGCUCUUAAUUACCUCUGCUGAUCUCUGUCGUAGAGUUACUCUGAGGAUUAAAAUGAAAAAUGAGAUAAUAUAUUUAAAGUAAUUAGCACGGUGCUUAGGUAUAGCAUAGAAAAUGUUUAAUAAAUGUCCCCCCCAAUCUCUUUAUUAUUUAGUCAUUUAACCUCAGUGACAAUGAACCUCGGUGUUUUUUCUAGACAUACACACUUAAUAUUCCACAUUAAACAUUUCAGUUUUUUGGUAGUUAUGACUGAUAUAAAAUUAUAGCUAAAGUCCCUAUUCUUCAAGGCUUUAUGUGAAAUUCAGUGGAACUUCUCUUAUCAUGGAUAAAUUGCAUUGGUAUUUGCAUGCAAAUAUGAAAUGUUUUUCUUUAAAAUUGUUUUCACUAUAAAACUAACUUAAGGCCAGGUGCAGUGGCUCACACCUGUAAUGCCAGCAUUUGGGAGGCUGAAGUAGGAGAACUGCUUGAACCCAGGAGUUCGAGACCAGCCAGGGCAACAUAGCAAGACCAUGUCUUCUGAAAAAAUACAAAAAUUAGCUGGGGAUGGUGGUGUGAGGCUGCAGUGAGCCAUGAUCGAAUUACUGUACUCGAGAGCAAGAACCUAUGUCAAAAAAACAAAAACAGAAACAAAAACAAAAACAAACCUAAGUUAUAUGCAUGAAAUAAAACUAGGAAGUAGGAAAAAUUUUUCCUACCAAAUAUCAUAGCCAUUAAUGUUAACAUUUUAGUACUUCUUUAAAAUUUAUUUCAUAUUUAAGUUUUUAAAAUCUUUGAUUAGAGCAUGUGGUAGAUAUAAUUUAAAAUUCUGUUUUUAUCAAUAUUACAAGCAUGUCUCACAUAAUUUGAUCUCUUUACAAUCAUUUUAAGAUACAGCUGGGUGCAGUGGCUCAUGCCUGUAAUCUUAGCACUUUGGGAGGCCAAGUGCAUGGAUUACCUGAGCUCAAGAGUUCGAGACCAAUCUGGGCAACAUGGUGAAACCCUGUCUUUAUUAAAAUACAAAAAAUUAGCCGGGCAUGGCGGUGUGCACCUGUAGUCCCAGCUACUUGGGAGGCUGAGGCAAGAGAAUUGCUAGAACCCUGGAGGCGGAGGUUGCAGAGAGCUGAGAUCGUGCCACAGCACUCCAGCCAGGGCAACAGAGUGAGACUCCAUCUCUAAAAAAAAUAGAUGCAGACAUUUGAACAAUUGUUCUAAAUGCUUAUUAACUGCUUUUCAAAUGACUUUUUGGGGGAUUUUCUAGGAUAUAGUUAUAUUGUCCACAAAUACAGAUUUUACUUUUUAACAAUUUCAUGUUCUCAAAAAUUGUCAGUAGUUCGGUGUAGUUGAAUCAAGGCUUCAGAGGGUGGGAGUCGGCGAUAACCCAGGAGAGAGGAAGUGGACCUGGAUCACGAAGUCCCCUCAGUGUUAUGCUAAUAGUUUUGGGUUUUAUUCUGUAGAAAUGAACAGACGUGGAAAAUGAAAUUACAUUCUCACUUUACUCCAUACACAAAAGCAAUUCCAUAUAGAUUAUGAAGUAAAUGUGAAAGGCAAAAAUGUAAUGCAAUUAGAAGAAACGAGGACUGUCUUCAUGACCUAAGCACAUGGAAUAAUUUAUAAAACAAACAUAAAGGACAUAAUCCAUAGAUUUUCACUAACAAAUAUUUAUUGAAUGCCUACUAAGCCAGACACUGUUCUAUGUACUUGUGCUGUAUUAGGGGACUGAACAGAGAAGACUAAAAUCCCUCCCCUCACGUAAUUAUAUAUUCUUAGACUUUACAAAAAGUAACCCCAAUAUGUAAUAAAUCAUAUCGUUUAUAAGAAGAAAGUGAAUCCAGAUGCCGUGGCUCACACCUGUAACCCCAGUACUUUGGGAACCUGGGGUGGGCAGAUCACUGGAGCUCAGGAGUUUGAGACCAGCCUGGGCAACAUGGCAAAAACCCAUCUCUAUGGAAAAAGAAAAACAAAAAACAAAACCAACACCGCCACACACAAUAAAAUACAACUCUUUGAAACCGCUAAUGAAAUAAUGAACCUAGGCAAUAAUGAUCAAUGACUCUGAAGUUCCACUGUAUAUUAACAGUGUACUUCAUUGAGAAAAUUGCAUUUAAGCAAAGACGUGAAAACAGUGAGGGAGUUUACCAUACGGAUCUCUGGGGGACAAACAUUCCAAGCAGAGGCAACAAUGAGUGCCAAGGCUGUUCCGUGGGAGUCUGUCUGAGGGUUAAGAAGUACAAAAAAAGCAGGCCAGUGAAGCUGGAACAUAACGAGGAAAAUUGUAUGAGAUGGAGUCAGAUUGCAACAGGAAGCCCAGUUAUGAGUAACUGGUAGGAGGGAAUUGGCGUCAGUUGAAUAGAGGAAGGCUGGUUGAGGUAGGUUUGUUGGGAGAAAUCAGAAGUUAAGUUUUGAACAGUGUAUGUUUGAGAUGUUUAUGGUACAUCCGUGUGAAGUUGUCAUGUAGGCAGAUGGAUAUAAAGCUGAAGUUCUGGACCAGAAACUAAAUGUGAAAACCAUCAACACAUAGAUAGCACUUAUAGCCAGGGAAUGGCAGUCAGAGCCCUGAAGGGAGGAAAUGGGUAGAAAAAUGGAGACAACCAGGACUGAGUUUUGGAGAGACAGGCAGGACAACACACGUUUCAGGUGCUUCCUAUCUACACAUUAGUAAACUUUAUUGUUGUACUUGAUUGAUUGAUUGGUUGGGCUCAACUGAUUCUCCCGCCUUGGCCUCCCAGAGUGCUGGGAUUACCGGCAUGAGCCACAGCGCCUGUCCUGGUAAUUGUUUUCCCCCUUUAUUUUAGAGCGGGAGUGGAAGUUUAUGUAAAAGCUUUAGAGCAGUAAGGAAAGGAAAGAAGAAAAAUACACUUGGAAGACAGCCAAGUGGGUGACUUUAGAAACCAAGUGUGUGGCCGGGUGUGGUGGCUCAAGUCUGUAAUCCCAGCACUUUGGGAGGCCAAGGCGGGUGGAUCAUGAGGUCAAGAGAUCAAGACCAUCCUGGUCAACAUGGUGAAACCCCGUCUCUACUAAAAAUACAAAAAAUUAGCCGGGCAUGGUGGCACGUGCCUGUAGUUCCAGCGACUCAGGAGACUGAGGCAGGAGAAUUGCCUGAACCCAGGAGGCAGUGAGCGGGGAUUGAGCCAUUGCACUCCAGCCUGGGUAACGAGAGUGAAACUUCUUCUCAAACAAGCAAAGAAACAAAAACCAAAAAAUAAACAAGAAACCAAGUGUGUGUCUUGACCUCUUGACUUGGGGUUUUAUACCUUGGCAUACUUCCGGUACCUUGAGUUCCUUCUCUCCCCUCCUGAGAUCUUCUUGGGAAGCUGCUGAUCAGUUUCAGGUGUUUCCUGUCUACAUCUAUUAGUAGGCUGACCUUCUCUGGCACUGGCUGUGGCCAAUGAUUACUUUAGAGAAACAGUCAAAAGCUGCCUGACCAUGCUCACCUGAUAGUUACCCAGCACUCCUGCGGGGGGGUGUGUGUGUGUGUGCCCGAGCGCACGCGCGUGUGUGGGAGUCCUCUCCCGCCCUGCUCAGACCUGACCAGCUACCCGCUACACCAUUUUCUUCCUCAAGAUUCCAAGACGCCCCAAAUCCUUGGGGAAAAAUGGACGAAGAGUUCCCAAAACUGCCCAAAGCCCUGAUAAGUGGCUGAAGACUGACGCUGCCUGAACAUCUCGGAGGCCCCUGGACCAUCAUGGACGCUGAGCUUUGGGUAACUCUUACGCUGGAGGGUAAGUCCAUUCCCUUUUUAAUCAAUAUGGGACCACCCACUCCACACUGUCUUCUUUUCAAGGACCUGUCUCCUUGGCCUCCAUAUUUGUUGGAUCUGACAGACUGAUUUAUUUUCCUUUGGGUAUAUACCCAGUAAUGGGACUGCUGGGUCAAACGGUAUUUCUGUUUUUAGCUCUUUGAGGAAUUGCUGCCAAUAGUGUAUAAACAAUCCUUUUUUCCAUAAUCUCGUCAGCAACUGUUAUUUUUUGACUUUUUAGUAAUAGCCAUUCUGACUGAUAUGAGAUGUUAUCUUAUUGUGGUUUUGAUUUGCAUUUCUCUAAUGAUCAGUGAUAUUGAGAUCUUUUUAUAUGCUUGUUAACCACAUUUAAGCCUUCUUUUGAAAAGUGUCUGUUCAUGCUCUUUGCCCACUUUUUAAUGGGUUGUUUUUUUCUUGUAAAUUUAACUUCCUUAUAGAUUAUGGCUAUUAGACUUUUUUUCUGAUGCGUAAUUUGUAAAAGUUUUCUCCCAUUCUGUAGGUUGUCUGUUUACUCUGUUGAUAGUUUCCUUUGCUGUACAGAAGCUCUUAAGUUUAAUUAGAUAUUUGUCAAUUUUUGCUUUUGUUGCAAUUGCUUUUGGUGUCUUCAUGGUGAAACCUUUGCCCAUUCCUAUGUCCAGAAUGGUAUUGUUUAUGUUAUCCUCCAGGAUUUUUAUAGUUUUGGUUUUCAUAUUUAAGUAUUUAAUCCAUCUUGAGUUUGAUUUUUGUAUGUGAUAUAAGGAAGGGGUCUAGCUUCAGCUUUCUGCAUAUGGCUAGCCAGUUAUGUCAGCAUGGUUUAUUGAAUAGGGAGUCCUUUCCUCAUUGCUUAUUUUUGUCAGCUUUGUCAAAGGUCAGGUAGUUGUAGGUGCAGACUUAUUUCUGGGCUCUGUAUUCUGUUCCAUUGGUCUAUGUGUCAGUUUUUGUACCAGUACCAUGUUGUUUGGUUAUUAUAUUCCUGUAGUAUAGUUUAAUGUCAGGUAGUAUGAUGCCUUCAGUUUUGUUCUUUUUGGUUAGGGUUGCCUUGGAUAUUUGGGCUGAUUGUUGGUUCCACAUGAAUUUUAAAAUAGUUUUUUUUUCCUGAUUCUGUGAAGAAUGUCAUUGGUAGUUUAAUAGGAACAGUAGUGAAUCUAUAAAUUGCUUUGAACAGUAUGGCCGUUUUAAUGAUAUUAAUUUUUCCUAUCCAUGAGCAUGGAAUGUUUUUCCAUUUGGUUGUGUCAUCUCUGAUUUCUUUCAGCAGUGUUUUGAAAUUUUCAUUUCAAAGAUCAUUCACCUCCCUAGUUAGCUGUAAUCCAAAGUAUUUUAUUCUUUCUGUUGCAAUUGUGGCUGGGAUUACAUUCCUCAUCAAGCUCUUGGCUUGACUGCUGUUGUGAUAUAGGAAUGCUAGUAUUUGUGUACAUUGAUUUUGUAUCCUGAUAAUUUGCUGAAGUUGUUUAUUAGCUUAAGGAGGUUUUGGUUUCAGACUACGGGGUUUGUAGAUAUGUGUUUGUGCAGUCUGUAAACAGGGAUUGUUUGACUUCCUCUUUUCCUAUUUGCAUGCCUUUUAUUUCUUUCUCUUGCCUGAUUGUUCCAGCCGGGACUUCCAAUUAUAUUGAAUAGGAGAGGGCAUCCUUGUCUUGUGUCAGUUAUCAAGGCAAGCACUUUCAGCUUUUGCCCAUUCAAUUUGAUGUUGGCUGUGGGUUUGUUAUAGGUGGCUCUGAUUAUUUUGUGGUAUGUUUGAAGGAAGGUAAUAGUACAUUUUUUUUCUUUUAUUGGAGAAACAAUUUAAAGUAUUUGUAUAUUACUUUGGAUGAUAGGACUUUUUGUAAAGGAUUAGAUUGUAUAUAAUGACUCAAACAAAAUAACAUAAUUUAGUGAUUAUGUCAAAUAUGGUAUAUGUGUCAUUUGGUGAUUAUAUUAGGUACUCUGUCAUAAUCAUGAUUAUAACAUAAUUUAGUGAUUUUAUUAGGUACCCUGUUAUGCAUAGUCUAAACUGACACAGUACUGAAUACAAUAAGAUAUUCAAUAAGUCACUAUUAAAAAGGAAUUCUUACCUAUUUAGAUUUUUACUGGGGAGGGAUACUUAUGCUAUGAGUAGAAAUGAAGACAUAUUGCAAAGUUAGACAAAGCCCUGGAAAACAUUUUUCUUUUAAUUUGUAUUUUCUGUGUUCCGUAUUUACUGGUAUUAAAUACGACUUUAAUUGGUAAGAAUCCUUUUAAAGAUAACCGGGACACAGAACUGAUUAAUGACUUGUUAGCAUUGUGAGAGCUGGAGACAAAACAGAAUGUUCUGGAUCCUCAGCCACAUUAUCAUGCCCAUUUUAAGGACUGAAUACCACAUGUGUUCAAACACUCAUGUGCCUAAUAAUCAUGCUGAGAUUACUGUGGGAUUUCUAGAGUUACAGACUAACUUCUUGACUUUUUACCACCUUUCUGCCCAGCUAUUUAGUGACAGCAUAGUUGAUUUCGAGUUCUCUCGAAGUAGAUGGUUCUAAGCCUGCUGUUCCACUCUUAGUUUUCCUUUCCUGUUCUAUGCACUUGUACAUAGGAUUUAAAUUCUCUAUAUGUUGCAAGCUCUCUGUGCCGAAGGAAACCAUCUUUGUUAUAAAUGCCUGAAAGUUGACUAUGUUCUCCCUUUGUUCUAGCUUUUGUUUCUAUUAUUACAAUUAGUAUAGUCUACCUAAUAAAAAAGGGGGCACUUAACUAUUUCCUAAAGGACUUAUUAAGACCUUCUGCCUGUAUUAUCUAAUUUAAUCUACACAAAAGUCUUAAGAUGUAAGUGUUGCCAUUUCCAUUUUGUAAAGGAGAAAAUGAGCUAAGAAAUAUCUUGUUUGGAAAACCGUAUUAUUAGCAUUCAUUCAUUAACCAAAGAUUUAUUGAGGUCAGUUUAAGACACUGAGUGUAUGGUUGCCAAAAAGAGGGUCUUACCUUCAUGAACCUUAUAUUCUAGUGGAAUCUACAUCACAGAACCUUUGACUUUAAUACUGACAUGUAAUUGAACGACCCAUACUGUAAAAUCCUUGAAAGUAGAGAUGAUAUCCGUAGACUAUAUCAAUUCAAUUACUGAAUUGAAUGAAAUUCUGGCAAUUAGGAUUUAUUCUUAUCUGCCACCUGCUGUUUCCUCCUUACUGGAUGUUUGAAAAGGUGCAUACAUAGGCAUGGGUAGAAUAGAUGGAUAGCCCCUCCUGAGCUGAUUUUCUCCAGUGACUUUUCUUCUCCCCAAAUUCCCAUCAAGGGUUAUUUAGCUGAAGGUUCUCUAAUUUCUGGUUCCCCCUAGUAAGUGUCAAAAACAACAUGGUAUAAGAAACCCAUAGUCUAGGAACUUGUCCUUGAUAAUUCAGCACAAAUGAAUUCAUCGGUAAGUAGCGGUGGCUGUUUUCACUAGAGAAGCACAAGUUGAAGUACACUCGAAGAAAGCAAAAGUUCAGAUCCUUUGUUCUGGCUGAGGCUUUCUUUUUUCUACCAGGCAACCGAGUAUGGGCUAAGUAAUGAGGGCAAAUCACCAGGCCUAGAGCAGAUACAUGUGAAGGCAAAGACCAAUGCUAAGGAGCUUUUGGUGACAUAGGGAAGGAAGUGUGUCUGCGUGUGCGCGUGUGUGUGUGUGUGUGUGUGUCACAGUUUUGCCUGAAGCAGGACUCAUAUCUGAGUGUUGCCAUUUGUAACUACUAAGAACACACCUCCUUUAAGCUUCGUUUCUCUUCGGAUUUGGCUGUAAAAAGCCUGCACAGUUUAUGUGGUGCUUUCGUUUCAUGGGAUACGAUUAUGCUUAUUGUGUUAGGCUGGGUCAGCAAUGUGUCAGAGCAGUACUGUAUAUCACUCCUCACCUAAAUGCAGUCAUGCAUUUUCAUAAAAGUAGCUACCUCCCCCUUGUGCCCAUCUUUCAUCUAAAGAGGAAUUAAGGGAAGAAAUGAAGCAAAUAGUGUUUUUAUGGAUGUUUUUGCUUCAUUUAAGCUGCCAGAGUAGUUUUGUGGUCCUAAUUUAAAACCUAUUAUAGUCUAGAGAAGAGCUACCUAGAGGUGGAAAGUAAGAGGGUUUCACGUGGCUAAAUGCGAAAGUGAUUGUCAAUGGCUGUUGGAACAAUACUGAGGGCAAUGAGGAUCGUAGUGUUUUUGAAAAGCAGCCUGCAAAUCAAAUUCAAGGGGAGAAAAGAUUUCUCGUUUUCUUAUUUUUGGAGUCAGCAGGAUUUCCAGCUGCAUGUAAUUUCAGGAAGUGAUGUGGCUAUUUAUUCAAUAAUGCCUUGCAAAUUUCCUGGGAAAUGAUGGAAUAAUUCUGAUGAAGUUAAAGUGGUUAUUGAAAUAUGAGAUGUCAUACUAUUUGCCAAGUGUUAUUUCUUGUCCAUUUAAUCAUAUGAAUUCAUUUUAUAAUGAAAGUAAACUCUUAGCAAAGACUUUCCAUAGACAUUUUCUAGGACUGAAAAUACAUUAUUGAAAUCCAGAUCACCAAAGCCGACUGAAUUAAAUAAACAAACAGCGAGUGCCUCCUGCCGUGCCAUGCAUGAUGCUAGGUAUUGGGAAAGCAAAAAGUCACUUCACAUUUUUUUUUUUUCCUGAACUCAUAGAGCUUAAUGACUGGUGGUAGGGACAGGCAUUGAAGCAAUGGGGCAUUCAGACACCUGUAAAAUGACAACACUGGGAAGUGCUAUGUAGGGAAGGCUCAUGGUGCUACAGCAGCAUCUGGCAUUCAUGGAGAGCCUCUCGUGUAUGUGGUGUCAAAGCUGAGACCUAAAGGAUGAAUAGAAAUCACAUAGGUAACGAGUAAGAACAAGAGUCCUUGAGGAUGGCAUGUAUCGUCUUGAAAAUUUCAUGGUGGAGGGUAGCAGUACACAGUGGGGUGCAUGGUACAAAAACAGGCUGGUGAAUCAAGGGCUAAACCCUGAGCCUUGUAGACCAGGUGAAAAAUCUUGUUGUCUAUUUUAAGAUAAUAAUGAAAUAAUUUUAGUAGCGGGGGUGAGGGUGGAUGAGGGGUGAUGCAACCAUGUCUCUGCUUUGGAAAUAUUACUCUGGACGAACCGUGGAGGAUGGAUGUUAGAGGGUCCCAAGUGUGAAUGGCAGAGCAGUUGUGAGGCUCCUAAAGAUGUGCAGAUGAGAAGGAAUGUUAGCAAAGACUAUGGAUGUGGACAUGCUUUAUGGUUGGUUUAAAAUCAAUUUACAGUAGUUUCAUCCCAGGUUCGCAUCUAUGUUCACUCACACGUACACAUGAGCUGAUGGUUUGUGAGAUGUUUGAGAACCCGUUUCUCAGGAUCCAGUCCUUGAUUGUCUUUUCCUGCUUACAUCAGGGAAGCCAAAUGCAUUUUUAUCUCAAGUGCCUACUCUGGUUGACUGGUAGAAGGUCCUGGGAGAGCAAUACUGAGAAGCUUCUGCAGUCACAUAACGGCUUAGCAAUAGAGAGCGCUUUAAUAGCUCCUUCCGUGAGCACAGAGUUGGGAGUGGUGGCAUGCAUGCCUUUUCAGAGCCUUUACGGCUCACAUUCCCCAUGGCAGACUCACCAUUUUUCUGCAGCGUAUAGGAGUAGUACUUGUCCCAGCUCUCACAACUGUUUUCCUAGACACUCUGCCUCUUCUCCCUAUGCUUUCUGGGAUUUUGAAGUGCACCGUCUUGGGUCAGAUUCGUUCUUCCUCUGAAUGCGCUCAACUCUCUUAGACCCUUAACUACCAUCUCUCCACUUGCUUUCUAUCUUCUAAAACUUUGUAAACGUCUCUCAUUUUCUGAUAUAUCCAUUGUAUUCUUAUUGUCCUGUGGAUCACUAUGUUUUUAGUAAUCUCUUUUGGUCCAUUUAUAUCUUCAGGGUUUCAUUUAUUCAAUUUUCUGUUCGUUCAGUCUCCCAUGUUUAAUCAAAACUUGUGCCACGGUUUUCCACCUAUGCUCUUUGGUAUAUACUUAUUUAACUGAAGAAAUGUGCAGCCAUCAGAGAAUAUCGGUGAACAAUUCACAAUCUCUGUUAGGGCAAAUGACUGGGUCUUGACAUGUUUUGGCUGUGUCCCCAUCCAAAUCUCAUCCUGAAAACCACUGCCAUGAUUCAGUUAUUUCCCACCGACUCCCUCUCACAACACAUGAGAAUUAUGGAAGCCGAGAUUCCACAAUCAUGGGGAUGGUUUUCCUCAUACUGUUUUCAUGGUAGUGAGUAAGUCCAAUGAGAUCUGAUGGUUUUAUCAGGGAAACCCCUUCACUUUGUUCUCGUCUUCUCUUCUUUUCUGCUGCCAUGUAAGACAUGCCUUUUACCUUCCUGCGUGAUUGUGAGGACUCCUCAGCCAUGUGAAACUGAGUCCAUUCAACCUCCUUUUCUUUAUAACUUACCCAGUCCUGGGUAUGUCUUUAUCAGCAGUGUGAGAAGGGACUAAUACAGGUAUGAUUAAAAUAUUUUGGGCUUUGGUGUGUCUUUCCAGUUCCAUCACUCCCCACACCUCCAUAAGCACAUUAUCAUUUCAUACACCAAUAUACCUUUAGUUCACUGUCUUGACAUAUUUUCUAAGGGCUGUUUGUUGUUGAUUAUGUUCUCCGAGCUUCAAAUUCCCUUCACUCCAGCUAUAUUCUUCUUACUCUUUGAAAUCUGGUUUAGGUGCCCUUUAUUUUGAAACCUAACUCCAAGUUACGAUUCAUAUACUCUCUGUCACUCAUCUGAAUACCUCCUUUGGAUUCAUAAUGUCUUUUGCUUUCUUGAUUAUAACAUUUAUGACCAUAUCAGGACAUUUGAUUCUCUUGUUUAGUUUAUAAAGUAGACUGAACCCCUGGAUGACAGGCUCAGGAUUUAUUCAUACAGUAUUUCCAUGGACCUGUAUUACAAAGUAGGCACUUGAUACCUGCUUGUGGAAUUGAUGCUAUGGGACUCCACUCCUAGAAGUGAUCUGUUUUCAUCACUUUAGUUCUAAGGUGCUAUCUUCAUAGUUGCGCUUCAUGGACUCUCAUUGUCAGGAAAUUAACUGCGCAGAACGUGAGGUUACCAAGGGUCAGGUGCAUGUUACUGAUUCGGGCACAGGGAAUUGUAUGAGCCUUGUGAGCACAAUGUAGAAAUUCUCAAUUGUAUACACUGCAGGUGAAGUACAUUUUAUGUUGACGCACAUGGUUAAUUAUUGAGGAUUGGCUGACUAUUAAAGCAAUAGCCUCUUGUUCAAUCUGUGUUGAUGAUGCAAAUGGAAAACACAGCUAAAAAUAUCACUCAUGUCUGAAAAAGCCAGCCCAAAAAAUAAAAAGCAAUUAGCUUGAACAGCUGGAAGCAGAUUUUGCCAGCAUGUGUGUUUACCGAUGUUUGAGUACAGUUGGUUCACAACUUUGUACUUGGUGUAGUAGCAUCACUCAAGUCCCAGAGGAGCAAACUUUCCUGAUGUAGAUAUUUUUCCAAGCAGCCCCCUUCUUCCCUCUUCUUUCCCUCGCCCUCAAUCAUGCACUUAGGAGUCUAUGAUACAUGAUGUCAAAUAACCUUAAGGACCUAGGAGGGAAAACAGGAGAUAACACAGUAAAUCAGAGCCAGCGGCCUCUGGGCCUAUGUUGUCUAUGUCUGAGUCCCAAAUGCAGUGUUACCCUGUGACCUUGGAGAAGUUACUUACCCUCUGUGUACCUUGCUUUAAAAUGGGCUUACAGGCCGGGCGUGGUGGCUCAAGCCUGUAAUCCCAGCACUUUGGGAGGCCGACGCGGGUGGAUCACGAGGUCAGGAGAUCGAGAUCAUCCUGGUCACCAUGGUGAAACCCCGUCUCUACUAAAAAUACAAAAAACUAGCUGGGCACGGUGGUGCGUGCCUGUAAUCCCAGCUACUCAGGAGGCUGAGGCAGGAGAAUUGCCUGAACCCAGGAGGCGGAGAUUGCAGUGAGCCGAGAUCGCGCCAUUGCACUCCAGCCUGGGUAACAAGAGCUAAACUCCAUCUCAAAAAAUAAAAUAAAAUAAAAUAAAAUAAAAUAAAAUAAAAUAAAAUAAAAUGGGUUUACAGAGACAUAUUUCAGUAUUGUUGUAGAAUUAAAUGACAUACUUGUGAAUUUCUUAGAAAAAGCUUUGGUAUGUCAUAAUUCUAUUAUUCAUUUAUAGUUCAGAGGUCAAAUACCAGUUUUGACUUCUUUUGUAGUGAUGAAAAAUAUUCAUUCCCAGCUACCUUGUCCAGUGAAAAUCACACUGUCCUGAAAUUCACACCAGAAACAUAGAGUUAGUGCCAAGAUCCUUCUGUGCCCUUGAAUGCUUCUUAAUAUUUGUCAUCUCUACUUCUAUUCUAAAAUCCAACUUGUACCUUUCAUUUAAAAAAGGGAGCAUCUACAGCCAAUGAAGGAGUGUAUCCUUUCAUUACUAUUCUGCUUAGUUUCUGUGUCGGUUGAUGUUUUUUCUGUAGAUUGUACGCUAUCAAUUUGAAUGUAUAGCAACAUCAAACAAAAAAGCAGAAGUAAUUAGGCUUGUCAGUCCACAAGAAUUUUUGGACCCAGUAUCCAUGAAGUGGUAGGUAGAUUAUAAUACCUAAUACAGAGUAUCAGAAUGAGCUCUUACGGACUCACGCAUACUCUCGAUGUGGUAUGAGAUGCCACUGGCCUGAGCUAAUGCAUUACUUUUUAUAUGAAUGAAGGUAUUCAGGGACUUGAGAAUAAUUUUUCUUAAUUAGUGUAACCCCUGCUUCCAUUUUCUUUAUACUACGCUUUGCUCACUGGUGCCUCCUUUCAUGUUGUGUGAAAAGGCAAAUUUCAGUCUUGUCUUGAUGAAUUAUUAAUUCCAGGAUUCAGAGCACAAAUGAGUACAUAUGUAUGCCUCUGCACAUGCAUACCUAUGCUUAUAAAAAGUGACAACUGGCUAGUUGUGUUGCUCACACCUGUAAUCAUAGCACUUUGGGUGGCCGAGGUGGGCAGAUCACUUGAGGUCAGGAGUUCGAAACCAGCAUGGCCAACAUGGUGAAACCCCAUCUCUAUUAAAAACACAAAAAUUAGCCAGGUGUGGUGGCACAUGCCUGUAGUCCCAGCUACUCAGGACACCAAGACAUGAGAACUGUUUGAACCUGGGGAACUCAAGUUGCAGUGAGCCCAGAUUUUGCCACUGCACUCCAGCGUGGCCAACAGAGAGAGAAUCCAUCUAAAAAAAAAAAAAAGUGACAACCUGUGGAGACUUCUGUUUAUAACUGAAGAUGUUAAAGUGUUAAAAAAAAUUUUACAUACCUUGCAAAAAGUAAACUACUAAAGCUAAUAUUCCAUAGAAAACUAAAUGGAUAUCAGAUAGACUUGUAGAAUGUAUAAUACUGGGUAUACCCCCUGAACAAACACUUUAACAGGUUAAGUCUAUUAGGGGAAAUGUCAUAAAAUUUCCCUAUGGGAACUUUUCUCUGGAUGAAAUCAUCAGGUCUAUUAAGAAAUAGGGAAAGUUUAAAUAUCUAAGACUUUUAAAAGUCUGAGAAUAUUUUAGACCAUAACUAUCAACACAGAGACUGGCUUAGAGGUAGAGGGAAAAUAGUAGGGAGAAACAGAUACUUUAGAUAAUUAAUAGUGUGGUAUGCUUAGCUAUAAAGGGAGGGAAAUGAAAGUGUGUACAUAUCCAGAAGCAAAGAAAGGUAGUCUCUCUUUCCAAAGCUGACUCAGUGCUUAUGAGCUAAGUGUUUCACAGUUGGAAAAGUAGGAGGGCAAGCUGAUAAGAGAACUAGGAACUACUCAUGCAUUGUCUGAAUUCCUGCAGGGUAGAAAGUGGACACUCCAAGGGUAUUGCUCUGUGAUCAUUAGGAGGGUUUGGAGUCAGACAACCCUGAGGGGAAGUCACGUUCCAUAGUCUGUAGCCAUUGGAAGUGUGUCAGUGCUCCUGACCAUAAAUCCACCUUAGCUCAGCUAUGCAGCAACCAUAAUAGCAUGCUAGCAGUACAAAAAGAGGCACAUAGACCAGUGGAACAGAAUAGAGAGCACAGAAAUAAGGCCAUACACCUAUGACCAUCUGAUCUUCAACAAAGCUGACAAAAACAAGCAAUGGGGAAAAGACUCCCUAGUCUGUAAAUGGUGCUGGGAUAACUGGCUAGCCAUAUGCAGAAGAUGGAAGCUUGACCCCUUCCUUAUACCAUAUACAAAAUCAACUCAAGAUGGAUGAAAGACUUAAAUGUAAAAUCUAAAACUAAAAACACCCUGGGAGACAACCCAGGCAAGCCAUAUGCAGAAGAUGGAAGCUGGACCCUUUCCUCACACCAUAUACAAAAUGAACUCAGGAUGUAUUAAAGACUUAAAUGUAAAACCUAAAACUAUAAAAACACUGGGAGGCCAUCUAGGCAAUACCAUACUGGACACAGAAACAGGCAAAGAUUCCAUAACAAAAAUGCCAAAAGCAUUUGUAACAAAAGCAAAAAGUGAAAAAUGGGAUCUAGUCAAACUUAAGAGCUUCUGUACAGCAAAGGAAACUAUCAUAUUUACCUAGCAGGGGAGAUACUAUGAUCACAAGGGUGGAUUUCCCCGGGUGAGGCUUACCUAUUGCACCCUGGGUGUGCUGACCCCUGCAGUUUUCCUAAAUGUGAGAAACUUGACUGCAUAAUUUGUGGUAGGAGGGUGACUGAGUUUGCUGCAGCUCCAUGAGGGAGGGCAGGGCCUCUGCCUGCUCCAUGGAGUGGGAGGUCUGGAUCUGUAGCCAUGACUUGGGAGGCUGCAGCUGAGCCCAGAAGGGUGAGCCUCCUGCCUGCUACUGGACCUGAGAGCACAGGCUCCAUAGCCACAGCUUGGGUGGCUGCAGUGUACCUGGGGAGCUCCCGCCCCAACUCAGAAAGGGCAAGGCUCCCCCCCUCCCCUUUUUUAUUGCAUUUAAGGUUUUGGGGUAAAUGUGCAGAACAUGCAAGAUAGUUGCAUAGGUACACAUGUGGCAGUGUGAUUUGCUGCCUUCCUCCCUUUCACCCACAUCUGGCAUUUCUCCCCAUGCUAUCUCUCCCCAACUCCCCACCCCACACUGUCCCUCCCCUAUUCCCCCCAAUAUACUCCAGUGUGUAGUGCUCGCCUCCCUGUGUCCAUGUGUUCUCAUUGGGCGAUAGCUCCGUAUUCAGGUCUCCUGGCCAGCUUGUGGGCUUAUGCGUCCUUUUAGAUCUGUGAGAUAAUCUGGGACACUGUCCUGGAUUAUUACUCAACUCUGCACUUGUAAUUCCUGUCCUUGACUGGCAGAGAUCGCCUGUUCUGUGUAUGGCUGAGGCUUUGGGGGAAGUGCUGGCAUUUCUCCCCAUGUUAUCCCUCCCCGCCCUCCUCACCACCGGCCAUCCCUCCCCUAGCCCCCACCACUGCCCCCAGUGAGGAGCAUAUAUGCUCCUCUUCCUGAGUCCACGUGUUCUCAUUACUAACACCCGUCUAUGAGUGAGAUCAUGCAGUGUUGGGUUUUCUGAGAAUGAUGGUUUCCACAUUCAUCCAAGUCCCUACAAAGGACACAAACUUAUCAUUUUUUAUGGCUGCUUAGUAUUCCAUGGUGUAUAUGUGCCACAUUUCUUUGUCCAGUCUAUCAUUUAUGGGCAUUUGGGUUGGUUCCAGGUCUUUGCUGUUGUACACAGGGCUGCAUUGAACUUACAUGUGGUUUUUGUCUUUGGUUCUGUUUAUGUGGUGGAUUAUGUUUAUAGACUUGCUUAUAUUGAACCAGCCUUAUAUCCCCAGGAUGAAGCCUACUCGAUUGUGAUGAAUAAGCUUUUUGAUGUGCUGUUGCGUUCGGUUUGCCAGUAUUUUAUUGAAUAUUGUUCUGUCAAUGUUCGUCGUGGAUAUUGGCCUGAAGUUUUCUUUUUCAGUUGAGUCUCUGCCUGGUUUUGGUAUCAGGAUGAUGUUGGUCUAAUAGAAUGAGUUAGGGAUGAUUCCCUCUUUUUGUAUUGUUUGGUAUAGUUUUAGAAGGAAGGGAACCAUCUCCUCUUUGUACAUCUGGUAGAAUUUAGCUGUGAACCCAUCUGGAUCUGGACUUUUUUUGCUUGGUAGGCUAUUGAUUGCUGCCUUGUUAUUGGUCUAUUUAGGGUUUCGACUUCAGUCCUUGUUAUUGGUCUAUUUAGGGUUUCAGCUCCUUCCUGAUUUAGUCUUGGUAGAGUGCAAGUGUCCAGGAAUUUAUCCAUUUCUUCCAGGUUUACUGGUUUAUAUGCAUAGAGCUGUUUGUAGUAAUCUCUGAUGGUAGUUUGUAUUUCUGUGGAAUCAGUGGUGAUAUCCCCUUUAUCAUUUUUUUAAUUGCGUCUAUUUGAUUCUUCUCUCUUGGAUUUUUUAUUAGUCUGGCUAGCAGUCUAUUUUGUUGAUCUUUUCAGAAAACCAGCUCCUGGAUUUACUGAUUUUUUUGAAGGGUUUUUUGUGUCUCUGUCUCCUUUAGUUUGGCUCUGAUCUUAGUUAUUUCUUGUCCUCUGAUAGCUUUUGAGAUUUUUUGAUCUUGCUCCUCUAGCUCUUUCAAUUUUGAUGAUAGUGUGUCAAUUUUAGAUCUUUCCUUGUUUCUCAUAUGGGCAUUCAUUGCUAUAAAUUUCCCUCUUGGCACUGCUUUAAAGGUGUCCCAGAGAUUCUAGUAAGCUGUGUCUUCGUUCUGAUUGGUUUCAAAGAACGUCUUUAUUUCUGCCUUCAUUUCAUUGUUUAUCCAGUUGAGACUCAGAAGCAAGUUGUUCAGUUUCAAAGUAGUUGUGUGGAUUUGAGUGAGUUUCUUAAUCAUGAGUUCUUAUCUGAUUGUGCAGUGGCGUGAUAGACUGUUUUUUAUGAUUUCCAUUCCUUUGCAUUUGCUGAGGACUGAUUUGCUUCCAAUUAUGUGGUCAAUUUUAGAGUAAGUAUAAUGUGGUGCCGAGAAGAAUGUAUAUUCUGUGGAUUUGGGGUGGAGAGUUCUGUAUAUGUCUAUUAGGUCUGCUUGGUCCAGCUCUGAAUUCAAGUCCUGGAUGUCCUUGUUAAUUUUAUCUCACUGAUCUGUCUGAUACUGACAGUGGAGUGUUGAAGCCUCCCAUUAUUAUUGUCUUGGAGUCUAAAUCUCCUUUUAGGUCAUUAAGAACUUGCUUUAUGUAUCUGGGUGCUCCUGUGUUGGGUGCAUAUAUAUUUAGGAUCGUUAGCUCUUCUUGUUGGAUUGAUCCUUUACCAUUAUGUAAUGUCCUUCUUUGUCUCUUUUGAUCUUUGUUGGUUUGAAGUCCAUUUUAUCAGAGAUUAGAAUUGCAACCCCUGCUUUUUUUGUUCUCCAUUUGCUUGGUACAUCUUCUUCCAUCCCUUUAUUUUGAGUCUAUGUGUGUCUUUGUACAUGAGAUGGGUUUCCUGAAUACAGCACAAUGAUGGGUUCUGACUUUUUAUCCAGUUUGCCAGUCUGUGUCUUUUGAUUGGGGUGUUUAGACUGUUUACAUUCAAUGUUAAUAUUGUUGUGUAUGAAUUUGAUCCUGCCAGUUACUGGCUGGUUUUCUUGCCCAUUAGUUGACUCAUUUUCUUCAUUGCAUCUGUGGUCUUUGCCAACUGGUUUGCUUUUGCAGUGACUAGUACUUGUUCCUUUCCAUUUUUAGUGUUUCUUUCAGGAGCUCUUGUAAGGCAGGUCUGGCGGUGAUGAAAUCUCUCAGUAAUUGCUUGUCCUUAAAGGAUUUUAUUUCUCCUUUACUUAAUGAAGCUUAGUUCAGCUGGAUAUGAGAUUCUGGGUUGAAAGUUCUUUUCUUUCUUUUUUUUAUUGUACUUUAGGUUUUGGGGUACAUGUGCAGAUCAUGCAGGAUUGUUGCAUAGGUACACACAUGGCAAUGGGUUUGCUGCCUCCAUCCCCCGUCACCUGCAUCUGGCAUUUCUCUGUAAGUUAUCCCUCCCUUACCUCCCCACCCUACUGCUGCCCCUCCCUUGGCCCCCCCAGUGUGUGAUGCUCCCCUCCUUGUGUCCACGUGUUCUCAUUGUUCGACACCCUCCUAUGAAUGAGAACAUGUGGUGGCUGAUUUUCUGUUCUUGUGUCAGUUUGCUGAGAAUUAUGGUUUCCAGAUUCAUCCAUGUCCCUACAAAGGACACGAACUCAUCAUUUUUAAUGGCUGCAUAGUAUUCCAUGGUGUAUAUGUGCCACGUUUUCCCUGUCCAGUCUGUCAUCGAUGGGCAUUUGGGUUGGUUCCAGGUCUUUGCUAUCGUAAACAGUGCCGCUAUGAAUGUACGUGUGUGUGUGUGUGUGUGUGUGUGUGUGUCUUUAUAAUAGAAUGAUUUAUAAUCCUUUGGGUAUAUACUCAGUAAUGGGGUUACUGGGUCAAAUGGAAUUUCUAUUUCUAGGUCCUUGAGUAAGUGCCACACUGUCUGCCACAAUGGUUCAACUAGUUUACACUCCCACCAACAGUGUAAAAGUGUUCCUAUUUCUUCACAUCUUCUCCAGCAUCUAUUUUCUCCAGGUUUUUUAAUGAUCGCCAUUCUAACUGGUGUGUGGUAUCUCAAUGUGAUUUUGAUUUGCAUUUCUCUAAUAAUCAGUGAUAAUGAGCAUUUUUUCAUAUGUUUGUUGGCCUCAUAUGUCUUCUUUUGAAAAGUGUCUAUUCAUAUCCUUUGUCCGCUUUUGGAUGGGUUUGAAAGUUUAAGGAUGUUCAAUAUUGGUCCCCACUCUCUUCUGGCUUGUAGGGUUUCUGCUGAGAGAUCUGCUCUGAGUCUGAUUGGCUUCCCUCUGUGGGUGACCCGACCUUUCUCUCUGGCUGCCCUUAGCAUUUUUUCCUUAAUUGAAACCCUGGUGAAUCUGAUGAUUAUGUGCCUUGGGGUUGCUCUUCUUGAGGAAUAUUUUUGUUGAGUUCUCUAUAUUUCUUGGGUUUGAAUGUUGGCCUGCCUUGCUAGGCUGGGGAAGUUCUCCUGGCUAAUAUUCUGGAGCAUGUUUUCCAGCUUAGAUUCAUUCUCCCCAUCACAUUCAGUACACUGAUCAAAUGUAGAUUAGGACUUUGCACAUAAUCCCAUAUUUCUUGGUCGUUUUGUUCAUUUCUUUUCAUUCUUUUUUCUCUUGUCUUGCCUUCUGUUUUUAUUUCAUUGAGUUGAUCUUCAACUUCUGAUAUCUUUUCUUCUGCUUCAUUGAUUCAACUAUUAAAACUUGUGUUUCCUUCCCGUAGUUCUUGUGCUGUUUUUCAACCCCAUCAAGUCGUUUAUGUCCUUCUCUAAGCUGGUUUUUCUAGUUAGCAUUUCAUCUAACUUUUUUUCAAGGUUUUAGUUUCCUUGCAUUGGGUUAGAACGUGUUCCUUUAGCUCAGAAAAAUUUGUUAUUACCCACCUUCUGAAGCCUGUUUCUGUCGAUUCUUCGCACUCUUUCUUGGUCAUGUUGUGUUCCUGUGUUGUUGAGGAGUUGUAAUCCCUUGAAGGAGAAGAGGCGUUUUGGUCUUUGAUGGUUUCAUCUUCUUUUGUGCUGUUUUUUUUUUUCCAUCUUCAUGGAUUUCGGGGACCUGCCUGAUGAGUCUGCCUAUGGAGGUGCUACUGAGUUUCCAGGGUCUCCUUCAGGUUGCUAGGUAGGCUUCCUGUGUCUUUUUUGUUGACACUGGGUGGUUAGGCCCGCCUCUUCCACUGACCUGGAGGCACUGCUGGGUGGUCAAGAACACUGUCCUGUUGAUAAGUAGGCUUCCUGUGUGUUUUGUUAAAACACGAAGCCUAGUCCCACCUCUUUAAUGGUGGGUUACGCCUUUCCUCCACGGAGCUGGAUCAGUCAGGGUUCAGCUCAGACUUAAGCACUGAGACACUGGCUGUGUAACCUGCUAGAGUUAGUGCUUCAGCCCUCUGGGGUUUGUGUGGGACAGUAGGGACCCACCCGGCUGCAUGUCUGUCUCCCCACUUUCAGCUCCUUCUCUCUCUGGGCAGGUGGAAGGGGCGAUAGCUCCAUCUUCAGGUCUCCUGGCCAGCUUAUGGGCUUAUGCGUCCUUUUAGAUCUGUGAGAUAAUCUGGGACACUGUCCUGGAUUCUUACUCAACUCUGCACUUGUAAUUCCUGUCCUUGACUGGCAGAGAUCCCCUGUUCUGUGUAUGGCUGAGGCUUUGGGGAAGUGCUGUGUCUGGACCGGGGUGCCAGAGGAGGAGCCUCCAACUCACUGGUCAGAUGUACUUUCUGGGGUGAAGCAGCACCCCUCCCCACCUUGCUCUGCUCUGCCUGGGCAUUGCUCACCAUCCAACCGGAUCCAUUGAAAUGCACCUCGUACUUGAGUGAGAGAGAGAGAAAGAAGCAGAAAUCGAGAGAUCUCCUAGCUCUCGAUUUCUGCUUCUCUCUCGCUGGGUGUUGUUCACUGGAGUUGUGUCUAUUUGGCCAUCUUGUUCUCUCCUCUCAGAAACUUUUAAAGAAAGACACUAUCUGCUUCCCUUUGGACCCGGUAGGUUUGUAACUUUUCGAUAUGGUAAAUAUUGUAGGAUAUAAUUAAAAUAAGUACUUAUUUAGUUUGUAGAAUAAUAUUUUGGUAUACUCAUACGCAUUGUGUAUUUUGGACACUUGGAAAAAUGAUUAUCGUAUUUAAGCUCCACACAUCAAGUUACUGAAAAGCUCAGAGUUUUCAUCAAAGCAGAGUGUAGAUAAGUUUUAGAAGUAUUUUAUUGUAUCAAGUUGUAAAGACGCAAUUAGACAACUUAGGCCAGCAGAUGGCACUCUUACCUUUGUCCUCAUUUAAAGAGAUGUUUGGGCUUGUGGCAACUUCUCUCAUAACUAGAUCUCAGAAACUGUUGAGAAUUGUAUUUUCCUAUUUUUAUUCAAACGCAGUUUUAUAACAAAGCAAUACAGCUAUUUUUACUUUUAUAGAGAAAAGUGGAUGAAUGGACAAAACCAUUUCUAUAGAUAAUCUGUUCAAUUAUUUGUUAGCACGUGAAAGUUAAGAUCCACAUGGAUGAAAAAUGCUCUGCAAACGCGUUCUGUAGUGUAGCAGUGUGUUUUCUUCCUUAUUUAUGAACGCAGAAUCUUAAUCUGAUAAAUCCAGCUGGAAGAACAAUAGAAUGAGAACAAUGCUCCUCUUGUCCUUUGUUUCUGGAAUUUCAUAAUAUCUUGAAAUCAUAGGAUUUUUGUGCGAUAAGGAGCCUUUUGUGCGAUAAGGAGUUGAACAUGCAAACUUUUAGGUGAGGAAACCAAGGCCCAGAGAAGUGAAAUGACUUGUCCAAUUUGAAGGUAGAAAUACUUGGUUUUAAUUGAAAGCAGAAAAUGGGACUCACUGUCUUCAGAGCAAAGCUGCACAGUAACCUUAUGCUUUAUAAUCGUAUUUUGCCGUGUUGUUGUCUGACGGCAUAGAAGGCAAGGAAGCUUUGGCCACUUGACAUAUUGGUGGAAAUCGAUACAUUUUCAUGCUUUUUCUGCUUUUGCUUUUUUUCUAAAUAAAACUUCACAAAGCAGCUAAGAAUUCAGAAAUGCCUGUCAGAUAUAUCUAACAAGUCAAAUCAGGCAAAAAACAUGUGGUAGGAAACUUUUUCUGUGGUAAGUACAAAUUUAAAGAGGGAUGCAUACGUCUUUAAUCAAAUUUAAUUUAAUAAAAAGGGGGCACACCAAGACUAGGGUAGUCUACAUGUUGCAGGCAUAAAAUUUCCAAACCCUGAACUAGUUAACUGGGUAGUUCAUUUGCAGUGGAGAUAUUUGUGGAACCAGGGUUGUAUUUGUGGAACCAGAGAUUAGUGGAGUAGGGUAUCCAGUUGGUCUUCAAGAAUAUUAGUAUACAAAAAAAAAAUCUCGUCCCAGCAUGGUGGCUCACGCCUGUAAUCCCAGCACUUUAGGAAGCCAAGGCAGGUGGAUCACUUGGGGUCAGGAGUUUGAGACCAGCCUGACCAACAUGGAGAAAACCUGUCUCUACUAAAAGUGCAAAAUUAGCCAGGUGUGGUGGUGCAUGCCUGUAAUUCCAGCUACUUGGGAGGCUGAGGCAGGAGAAUCGCUUGAAGCUGAGCGGUGGAGGUUGCGGUGAGCCGAGAUCACGCCAUUGCACUCCAGCCUGGUGACAGAGCCCGACUCCAUCUCAAAAAAAAACAAACAAACUCAGUUCUUUAUUGUUAUGAAUCAAAUUAAAUAUGGAUUAUUCCAUUUGCCUGGAUAGCAAUUUUUUUUUUUUUUUUUUUUUUUUUUUUUUUUGAGGAGCACUUCCCUACCUUAGUCAGAAUGGGAAAGCACCCAGGGGAUUUAGUGAACCAGAAAAAUGGUCUCUGUUCUCUGUGUUUGUUGAUAGUUGCUGAGACGUUUGUUGUUUCAGUGUGUGUGUCCCUUUUGGAGGCGUUUCCCCUUUACCAUUCAGUGCUCCACUGGGCACUGACCCAGAACCUUCCAGCUGUGCAGAGUUCUAGACAUUCACACAGAAGCUCUGCUACUUCUUAGGUGCUGUGAAGGGUCAGCGUGUCUUCUCCCAGCCUACGGCCACUGCUCGUGUCCAGCACCCCCAGCUUCCAGUCUCUGGACACCCAGCUCACUUCGGGUCUCGUGGGGCGGAAUCCUCCAGGCCCUUUGGGACUGUAUUGCUUAAUUUGCUCGAGUGGGUCUGAAACCAAAAAGGGUUCCUUGUCUCCUCGGGGUUCAGAACACAAAAGGGUGUCUGAGAGAAGAAAAGAAAAAAAAUCAUCUCUUUUUGUUUUUGGACGGUGUGUUUUCAGCAAGAAGGAUAGGACAGUUUUUAAUUUCUCAAUAAUGUGGCCUAUUUCAUAAGGCUGCACUUUGUUCUACCCAUACAUUUUUAUGCCGAGUGACAAUACAGGAGGAGCUGAAAGGAAGAUCCAAAUUCACAGAAGCUGCUGCUUCUGAGUGUUGACAGUAACCGGGUCCCUGAGCUCCCGCUUGGUAAAAAGGGGUUGAAGUGGAACAACUGUUAGAAGUAGGCAGAGUAGAGUUCGUGCGGAGGGUGAGGAGCCGUGUUGUUCUCCCAGAGGACAGGCCCCUUCUUUGCAGCCAGGAAUGUUUAUUGCUGCUUAAUGUUCUAUUGCCAAACUAGAUUUCGUAUCUUCUCAGAAACCUUUAGCUUCCUACAAAAUAGAAUCCUACUCCCUCCUUAGGGACCUUGAAAACUGGCUGGGUUAAUUUAUGCUGGUGCCUUGUUGUAGUCAAUAAUAAUACUAAUUAGGGCACGAAGGCAUCAUCUAGAUAAGUGAGUAAGUGCCUCCCCACCAUUUUUUUUUUUUAGUUUUUGAUGUAUCUCCUAGACUAGGACCUGAGAUAAAUGUAAAUGCCUACAGAAUACCCCAGUGAGCAAAGCUCGUCAGAUCUGUAAGGCAGAAGAAAAAUGUUAUUUCUGAUAUGCCCGCCGAUUUCUCCACGUGGUGGUACCACAGCUGGAAGUUGGAGCUGUGCUUCCUCUUCUAGCUCCGCCAGACGGGUUCCUACCUGCUUGUGGGAAACGACUGGGUGCAUCUCUCCCCAGCAGCAUGUCAGGGCCAUCAUGGUAUAGUUUGAGAUCUGCAUGGUGGAAUUAUUUACAAAGAGGGGCAAAGACUAAAAAUAAUAGCUGGUUGAUAAACCAGGACAUUACCACUGAAAAAUCACAUUUGAACCAGCUUUUUGAAUAAUUUAUUAAAACAACAACAAUGUAAGGACCUAAAGGCUGUUGGUUUCAACUUUAUGUGAAAGGAAUACCUAGAGAGAGAGUUCAGGUGAUUGAUAACGGGAAGGCUGCUCAUUCCCCAUUUCAGUAUAUAUUAACUAUAGUUUUAACAUUCCAGCACCACUUUUGUUUAACAAAAAUUAAUUGCCUGGGUGCCAGUGAUAACGUAUCUUUAGAGCAUGCCGCAACUUUGCUCCCUUAAAAGAAAAGUAGAAGAAAAUGAGCACAAAGUCUUUUGAGUUAAUGUUUUAAGAAGUAGGUAGAGAGAGAAUAAGGAAUGCUACUGCAGGUGUUAUUUUUAGGAAGUUAUUUGUACCUUGAUGCUCAUUGCUUUCCCCACCUCCCCACCCCAGCUUUGCCAGAGAUAACUCCUGUGCAACCUAAAUCACUUUGACAAUUACCGCGGAUUUAAAGGAGUGUUCUGGUAAUCCUCAGGGGAGCAACUGGAUUAAGUGAAACAAUAAAUAAGCCUCCAGGAAGCUUAGGUAUCAAAUAUUCAUUUGAAAAGCAAAACAAAAAAACAAAGGCCAGGUGUGGUGGCUCAUGACUGUAAUCCCAGCACUUUGGGAGGAUGAGGCGGGCGGAUCAUUUGAGGUCAGGAGUUUGAGACCAGCCUGACUGAAAUGGUGAAAUCCCAUCUCUACAAAAAUACAAAAAUCAGGCAUGAUGGCAGAUGCCUGUAAUCCCAGCUACUCCUGAGGCUGGAGCAGAAGAAUUGCUUGAACCCAGGAGGUGGAGGUUGCAGUGAGCCAAGAUCAUGCCACUGCCCUCCAGCCUGGGCAACAGAGCGGGACUAUUAAAAAAAAAAAAAAAAGUACAAAUGAUAGGAGUCUUUCUUUAAGAUAAGGAGCCCUGAAUUGUUGAUUCUCGAUUCUGUUGUCUCUGCAGUUGCUGAUGUUCACAUUUCAAGGAUUGUCAGCUGCACAGCUGUAGAAUCAGCAAACAGUGCCUCCAUAUCCCUCAGGAAGUCAGCCAUACAGCCUUCCAACUGUAGGAGCAUCUCAUGUUGACGUCUUUGAAUAUCCCAGGAUCCAUCCUGAACCGUAGAUGAACUAGGGCCCCAAUCUUCAGCAUCAGAGAGGGAGAUGUUUUCCUGCAUUUGGUUCUCACACACCUCUACAGACGUGGCUGGAUCCCCUCUUCUGUCCCUCUAGGGAAGAGAUGGCCUGGCAUGGAGUCUGGCUAGACUACUGAACAUUUAUCAUCAUGUUUAUGCUCCAUCAUCUUCUCUUCUUGUGACUUCUGGUCUUACAAUCUUUAUCCAGAAGUGAUUCCCCAAUUUCUUAGAUCUUAUUUGGAGGGAAAAUUUGGAUGUUUGAGGGCAAGAGAGGCACAUGAAGGACUGGAUUUGAACCUCCGCAUGUCAGAUCUUAAAGUUCAUGGAAUUAGGCACACAUUGCUAUAGUCAGUGGAACCCUCAAAUCUGAUCUUACUAUAACCCUACGUGAUAUUUAAAAAUGCUCCAGAUUUCCAAAACACUAUAAAACAAAUUAUCCGAAUUUCAGACAUGUGACCAUCUGUAAGUGAAGAUAUUCAAGUUUGAUUAUGAUAUGUCCUUGUCUUGGAGUUUAUGAGGAGAGUUUAUGAGUAGUUUAUUCAAUAGACAUUUCUUGGAGCUAAACAUAUAUAUGUGCAUAUAUGUAUAAGUAUGAAACAAAGAAUUUAAAACAAUAAAGAAGCUAGAAAUAAUAGUGUAUCACAUUUACUGUCCACUUUUCCUAUUCCAGACACUGGGAUAAGGGCUUUUAAGGGAGUAUUCAUUAAGAAAAUCUAGGAUCACACAUCUUAUAGAUUCUAGAGCCAGUCUGUUGGUACAUCUGGACUGAGUCUAAGGGUUUAACCUCCACAAUACAACAGUCACACUAUACAAAAUACAGCGUAAAUUGGUACCAAUGGGACAUCUGCAGAAUGAUUUGAGGAGAAAAAACUUUUUGAAAGACACAUUUAAAGCCUAAUUUUGACGUACAAUGCUGUGGCUCCAGGCUAUAGGUUAUAUUAACAACUUAAAGUACAUAGAUUUACAAGUUUGAAAAUCGGUUAAGAUUUUGAAAGGAAUAGAUGCCACAUGUACUAACUUAAAUUUACAGCGCAAGUAAGUUACUUCCAGUUCCCAUUCCUUCAUCUCUCCAGUCCACCAAACACCACUGAGAAAAUAUCCAUCAAUUGUCAUUUCAACUCAAAACCCUUCCCGUCAUCACCUGCCCAGGAUUUGUUUCACAAAUUCAUCUAAGUUGCCCCUUCUCAGCAGAAAACCUUCAUGAUCUUAGUCCUUAUCAGAGGCUCUUAUAGACAUUGGUGGAAUAAAGUCUAAUGAUUGUUUCAUUUUUUAUCUUCAAUUGUCUUGUUUUUACAGCCACAUCAUUUUUGUUAAUCACACAUUCUCAUUCCAAACUCCCUCCAUCCCUCCCCUUGCAAAGACGAAAAAUACACAAAAUUGAGCUCCUAAUGAGAUUGGUGGCAAGUGUUACUUAAAAGUAUUCCUUCGAAGACUUGCAGUGGAUACAAUUCUAAGACAGGAGAUGGGACCCUCUUAAAAGAUAGAGUUCAAUUUAGACAGAAGGGCUUUCUGCUUUUCAUUUGUGUUUGUUGAACAGUUGUUUCGUCAGUGGCUGCCUGAGAGAAUCUGCCGAUGAUUUGACUCUGAAACUCUAGAAAAGAGUGCCUGCAGAAGUGAGUGUUCAGAAAUCAGCUAACUGCUUCUCUAGACGGGACAAAUACCCUUCUUUUUGGAAUCCAUUCAUGCCUUUCCCAAAGGGACAUUGUCACACAGUGUUUACACAAGUGCUUCCUAUUUGUGACUUUGCCAGAAUUGUGUUCUGUGUAAUUCUGCUUACACGCCCUAGACUUCUUGAAUUGCCAACAUUCAGGCAUCAUUAGUGACCUCAUUAAUGCCAUUUUGAUAAAGUGUUUACAUCAUUGCUUCUCUUAUAUCUUGUUCUUGACGCAUGUUGGGAUGUCUGUUCCACAUUUCGCCACAUCCUUCAUUUACCACAUAUUUGUUUGAUGGGGUGUUUUUCAAGUUGCUAGUGUUCUGUACUUUUAAUCCUUUUGGGCUAGAACCCAAAUAUUUGGUGUGCCAGGUCAUGAGUGUUGCACCUUGACAAGAAAAAUUCCAGUAAAGGCACCAUAAUGAGAAAAGUACUGUCUCUCCAGAGGUCUCAUGUAGUUCACCUCCCUCCCUCAGGGCUACGUCAGGAAGAGUCACUUUUCUUCUCUGUACUUCUGUAGAAUAAUGACAGCCAGUUAGACUUGGAUGUCCACAACUGCUGUUUUUUUUUUCUUUUACCAGUUCUAGGUAAUUUCAUUUCCACAAUGGCUGUCUUUUACAGGGUGUGAGCUGCCUACUCUCUGGAAUUGGUUGCUUUCCUGAUGGAAAUAGCUUCUGCCUCAGAUCACCUCAUCUUCCCUAGGUCCUGAUACUGACUUCCCUGUGUGUUCAGUUACUGAAUGACAGCCUUAACCUUAGCCUUGGGCUGUAUGCUCCUUUAAACAGGAUAAGACGCCCUGUUUCAUAGAAGAGCUACGGCCAGGGUUGUCCAGCCCUGCUUUAUCCCGGUUGGAUCUCAUCUGUGUGAAACCUAUCUCAGAAAUUUCUGCACGAAUCUCUGGGGUUAGUAAACGGAGCUUUUGUUAUUGGUGCUCCCCUCAGCAAUUAGCAAUUCCAUUUAUUCUGUUUUCGAUGAUCUCUCUUUGUUAAGUAGCAAAAACAAUGUUAACUUUCUUUGCUGCUGAACAUUUGACGUGCAGGUGUGCACUUUGACUGUUUAGAGGGGUAACUCUAUGCAGCUGCACCUACAACAGCAUCUACUUCUUGGCUGCCUUCCUUUUUUUUUUUUUUUGAGACGGAGUUUUGCUCUUGUUACCCAGGCUGGAGUGCAAUGGCACCAUCUCGGCUCACCGCAACCGCCGCCUCCUGGGUUCAGGCAAUUCUUCUGCCUCAGCCUCCUGAGUAGCUGGGAUUACAGGCACACACCACCAUGCCCAGCUAAUUUUUCGUAUUUUUAGUAGAGAUGGGGUUUCACCAUGUUGACCAGGAUGGUCUCGAUCUCUUGACCUCGUGAUCCACCCGCCUGGGCCUCCGAAAGUGCUGGGAUUACAGGCGUGAGCCACCGCGCCCAGCUAAUUGUUUGUAUUUUUAGUAGAGACGGGGUUUCACCAUGUUGACCAGGAUGGUCUCGAUCUCUUGACCUCGUGAUCCACCCGCCUGGGCCUCCCAAAGUGCUGGGAUUACAGGCGUGAGCCACCGCGCCCCGCCGGCUGCCGUCUAUCCAACCCCAUCUCUAGCUUUUAAAGUGGUAUUUUUGAUUCAUGGCUGCACUCAGAUCAUCCGGAGAGCUUUGAAAACAUAAAGUUGCAGCCCCAGCCCGGACAUACUGCAUUGGAGUCUUUGUGGGUAAGAGCUGGGUGUUCUAAAAAAUACCUUCUAGGCAUUUCUCAAGUGCAGCAGUUACGUCUCAGCCUGUCCAUUACUGUGACAUUUACUCUACUGGCUGUGAUUGGUUUACUCCUUAAACAGGGGUGCACAUUCACACUUAAGGGCCAGGUGAACACAUGUGGUCCAAGUUGCUGAUGACUCUUGUCUCGUGACCACCCUUAGGUAGAAAUUGAUGCUUUGGACAAGAAAGCAGAGAGAAUGCUCUCUGAUGACAUCUCUUAGCCUUUGAAUCAGUUAACCUCUAAAUUUGCCAUACCUCCGAACUUCUUGUUAUUUAAGAAAAUAAAUUUCUAAGCUGAGGAAACUGAGAUCAAAGGGAUUAAAUCACAC